rnacentral:rRNA from 1 species
GACGAACGCUGGCGGCGUGCCUAAUACAUGCAAGUUGAGCGAUGAAGAUUGGUGCUUGCACCAAUUUGAAGAGCAGCGAACGGGUGAGUAACGCGUGGGGAAUCUGCCUUUGAGCGGGGGACAACAUUUGGAAACGAAUGCUAAUACCGCAUAAUAACUUUAAACAUAAGUUUUAAGUUUGAAAGAUGCAAUUGCAUCACUCAAAGAUGAUCCCGCGUUGUAUUAGCUAGUUGGUGAGGUAAAGGCUCACCAAGGCGAUGAUACAUAGCCGACCUGAGAGGGUGAUCGGCCACAUUGGGACUGAGACACGGCCCAAACUCCUACGGGAGGCAGCAGUAGGGAAUCUUCGGCAAUGGACGAAAGUCUGACCGAGCAACGCCGCGUGAGGGAAGAAGGGUUUCGGAUCGUAAAACUCUGUUGGUAGAGAAGAACGUUGGUGAGAGUGGAAAGCUCAUCAAGUGACGGUAACUACACAGAAAGGGACGGCUAACUACGUG